ACGCAGGUUCCGGGCGCGCAGUGCUGAGGAGGGAGGUGCAAGUUCCGGGUGGAUGGAGCCCGCGGCUACGCGGGCUUUGCAGAUACCGUGCCCCGGAGGCGUGUGAAACUCUCUUCCAACCCAGGGUUGAGGUUGCCGGCUGUGGAGGAACCAGAGGAGAUGCGGAAAAGCAAGUGAAAUAAGAGAACCGUGUAUGUGAAAAACAAACCUUUAGCAGUUUUAUCCUAGAAGCCGCGAAAGCCCGGGGAAGGAGGGGGAGUUAAUUCCAAAUAUGUCCGCAUCGGGCGGUUUUAGAGAGGAAUAGCACCCCCAAAUCUCACCGUGUUGUAACAUUUGAUUAUAAUAGGAGAACUAUGUGUAUUGACUCAGAAGAUAUGUUGAUCCCUUGAUAGAGUUAAGUUUUUAAAAAUUUAAAAAGAG